UCUCCUGGAAACGGGUGGUAAUGCCGGAUGCUCCGCCCCCUCGCAUGGGGGGUCGGGAAGGCUUUUGCGGAAUGGGAUGGGGUCGCGUCCUAUCAGCUUGUUGGCGGGGCGACGGCCCACCAAGGCUUCGACGGGUAGCCGGCCUGAGAGGGCGACCGGCCACAUUGGGACUGAGAUACGGCCCAGACUCCUACGGGAGGCAGCAGUGGGGAAUAUUGCACAAUGGGGGGAACCCUGAUGCAGCGACGCCGCGUGCGGGAUGGAGGCCUUCGGGUCGUGAACCGCUUUUGAUUGGGAGCAAGCGUGAGUGAGUGUACCUUUCGAAUAAGCACCGGCUAACUACGUGCCAGCAGCCGCGGUAAUACGUAGGGUGCAAGCGUUGUCCGGAAUCAUUGGGCGUAAAGGGCUCGUAGGCGGUUCGUCGCGUCCGGUGUGAAAGCCCAUCGCUUAACGGUGGGUCUGCGCCGGGUACGGGCGGGCUUGAGUGCGGCAGGGGAGGCUGGAAUUCCCGGGUGUAACGGUGGAAUGUUGUAGAUAUCGGGAAAGAAACACCA
rnacentral:rRNA from 1 species